rnacentral:tRNA from 1 species
GAGGGUAUAGCUCAGUGGUAGAGUGUGUGCUUAGCAUGCACAAGGUCCUGGGUUCAAUCCCCAGUAUCUCCA